CGAGGCCCCGCAGGCCUCCGACAGCCGUGACCUGCAGGGUCUCGUCACCCUGGUGAUUGGACCGCUCGGAGGGUAGGGUCCCGGAGGGCAGGGACUUGGGCUGCCCCGGUGCCCCCCGCAGAACCUGGCACCCUGACUGGGUGUCUCCCGAAAUGCUGCUUUGCCAGCGCCUCCCGCCCCUCCGCUGGCUUCCCAGUGGCAGGGAAAAUCCCGGGCGACCUCAUUUCCUGUUCCCCAGCUCCGCUCAGAUCCUCUUUGUCCCGGGCCCUUCCUCUCCGGAGAGCUCCUUAUCUGAGGACGCUCCAGCGCGCAGCGGCAGGCCUGGCGGGGCCAUCCUGCCGGCUUCCGGCCUCGCAGCUCUGGAUUGGAGUCAGAAGCGCUGAGCUCGGAGCCAAGCUUUGAAUCCCUUCCCAGCUCGGUGACCUUGGCCGCGGCUUCCACCUCUGCUCAGCCUCGCUUUCUUAAUCUGUCAAAUGAAGUGUUUUCUUGUUUAGUGCGAGUCUGCUGAAAGGAGAACUGGGUCUUUCAACCAGUCUGUCCUCGCAAGGGAGACUCUGGAUCCUAUGGAAACCUGCUUUAGACAACUCUUUCUGAGACGAAUCCCGCAGCACAAGUUUCUGCAGUCUUGGAGGUGGAACCACAGUGCUUUUCAAACUGGUGAUUCCACGGGGUGCUCAGACGUCAAGGGGGAGCGCAGGGAGCUGCAGGAGGUGCCGGACAGGUGGGCCCAUCCACAUGUGACUGGAGGUCCUUCCCUCGCCUGUGUGAUUGCUCAGCUUCGGGGCAGGAUUUCACUGGAAGAAGCGGCACCAAUGGCUAAAGAGAGAGAGAGAGAACACACGAGUUUGACAACCACAGUGAAAACAUCUGCUUCCCUCCAUUUGUGAAAUCCCGUGCUGGGGAGGACCUUAGAGCGCCCCAGCCAUGUUUUCUGGGCUGCCAGGGGCGGGCGGGGGGAUAGGCAUGAACUUGGAGUAUAACUGGCUAUGCGAGCCUCUGAAAAUAAAGGAUUUGUCAUAGGUUGGUCUCAAAAUGCAAAA